GACGAACGCUGGCGGCGUGGAUUAGGCAUGCAAGUCGAACGGUAGAAGACCUUUCGGGGUCUUUGAGAGUGGCGAACGGGUUAGUAACGCGUAGGUAAUCUACCCUCAAGCGGGGGACAACCCAGGGAAACCUGGGCUAAUACCGCAUGUGUCCGUAAGGAUAAAGCCGGCCUCUGAAUAUGCUGGUGCUUGGAGCUGAGCCUGCGUCUGAUUAGCUAGUUGGUGGGGUAACGGCCUACCUAGGCGAUGAUAAGUAGGCGGCUUUAACGAGUGGUCGCCCACACUGGGAUUGAGAUACGGCCCAGACUCCUACGGGAGGCUG
rnacentral:rRNA from 1 species